rnacentral:misc_RNA from 1 species
GAUGAAGAACGCAGCGAAAUGCGAUAACUAAUGUGAAUUGCAGAAUUCCGUGAAUCAUCGAGUCUUUGAACGCACAUUGCGCCCCCUGGUAUUCCGGGGGGCAUACCUGUCCGAGCGUCAUUACAACCCUCAAGCCCGGCUUGUGUAAUGGGCGGCCGUCUCUCCCCCCGGGGGGAGACGCCCCCGAAACUCAGUGGGGAUGUCGCGAUACCGAAGCCUCAGCUAAUGGGUAAACCACAGCUGCAAUGGCCGCGGCCGGCGUCCGCCUUCCACGGUCCGUCCGCCUAGCGCGGGCGGCCUUCUCAAGGUUGACCUCGGAUCAGGUAGGGAUACCCGCUGAACUUAAGCAUAUCAAUAAGCGGAGGA